rnacentral:lncRNA from 1 species
UAUGAUCUGAGAUAGCAUGCAAAUCACUACUCAAUCCCCACAGAGUGACACUAUUUUGCCAUUGGUUCAAAUUAGGGCUCCAGACGACUCUAUUAGCAUCACAUUUUAAAUUCUUUUAAUUUGUUUGAAUAACUGAGGUACCCACAAAUUUAGCAUGAUGGCCUACUAAAACUUUUCUCCAGUCUGAAUUAAGUAUUAGCCAGAGAUUGACUGCAAUGCUCCAGCAUUCCCAAUUGUGAACAGUAAAGAUAAUUCACAGAUGAUGGUCCACAACACAAGCACAGAUUUCCCUACAAUAGAGAGGUGGAUUAUUUAUGGCCAGCAUAAAAAGCAUCGAUACACUAUCCAAUCACAGUUAUCUUACAGUGAUAACAUCCAUUAAUAAGUUCCUAUGUCAAGUGUACCUGGAGCACAACCAACCAGAAACUCUGCCAACUAACUUUAUAUGCAGAUUGUAAUGGAUUCAGAUAUACCAUCUACUUUCAAGCCAUGCAAUGCAUGUGGAGGAGAUAAAAAAUGUUUAAAAUAAGAGGAGACACACUAGUCUGAUCUUGUUUUCAGUUAAUAAGGCUCGAUACCUAAGUUGACCUUAAAUAAAAGGCUCUUUGGCAUUUUACCUUGCAAUUAGGCCAACAACUAUGUUUGGAAAACAGUCAUAUCUAAUUGUUCGCUUCAAUAUCUAAAAUAGUUAAGUGCAGAGGGACAUUCUGAAUAAGCAUUUUUUACUUUAGUUAUCAAACAACAACCAAUUCUGA